rnacentral:rRNA from 1 species
CCUACGGGAGGCAGCAGUAAGGAAUAUUGGUCAAUGGACGGAAGUCUGAACCAGCCAUGCCGCGUGCAGGAUGACGGCCCUCUGGGUUGUAAACUGCUUUUAUAGGGGACGAAAAAAGGGGAUUCUUCCUCACUUGACGGUACCCUAGGAAUAAGCACCGGCUAACUCCGUGCCAGCAGCCGCGGUAAUACGGAGGGUGCAAGCGUUAUCCGGAUUUACUGGGUUUAAAGGGUGCGUAGGUGGGUCGGUAAGUCAGCGGUGAAAUCUUCGAGCUUAACUCGGAAACUGCCAUUGAUACUAUCGAUCUUGAAUCGUCUAGAGGUAAGCGGAAUAUGUCAUGUAGCGGUGAAAUGCUUAGAUAUGACAUAGAACACCAAUUGCGAAGGCAGCUUACUAUGGAUGUAUUGACACUGAGGCACGAAAGCGUGGGGAUCAAACAGGAUUAGAUACCCUGGUAGUCCACGCCCUAAACGAUGGAUACUCGACAUUUGAGAUAUACUUUAAGUGUCUGAGCGAAAGCAUUAAGUAUCCCACCUGGAAGUACGAUCGCAAGAUUGAAACUUAAAGGAAUUGACGG